rnacentral:rRNA from 1 species
UACGGAGGGUGCAAGCGUUAUCCGGAUUCACUGGGUUUAAAGGGUGCGUAGGUGGGUUUGUAAGUCAGUGGUGAAAUCUCUAAGCUUAACUUGGAAACUGCCAUUGAUACUAUAGAUCUUGAAUAUCCUGGAGGUGAACGGAAUAUGUCAUGUAGCGGUGAAAUGCUUAGAUAUGACAUAGAACACCAAUUGCGAAGGCAGUUCACUACGGGAUUAUUGACACUGAGGCACGAAAGCGUGGGGAGCAAACAGG